AUAAAAGCCUCAUGCGAACAUAUUUAUUGAAGAAAAACCCAGAACCUAAUUCCUGAGCCUGUUGCCAUAUAAAUGUGGAAAAAUCCGUCUGUGGAUAGCAUCGUCUGAGAAGUCUGAUGGAUGCUUAGUUUGACUUAAAGAUAAAAGGAUGCUUGAAACUCUGUUUGCCCAUCAUGGGCUUCAAUUCUAACUGGAAAGGCAGUGAAAUGCACUUUUGAAAGUUUAUGGAGAAAGACCAAUUCAAGCAAGUGAUUCAGAGAUUACAAGUAUCAUGAAAAACAGGAAAUGAGGAAGCAAGACUGUAAUGAAUCCUUAUAAAUGGGAUGGUAACAGAAGCCAAAGCAUGAGGGAUGUUGGAAAUUCAGUUCAACCCAGCAAGCUUCUGUUGAGUGCCACUACGUACAAGUUCCUGCUUGGUGCUGGGAAGGUUCAAAGAAAGCCAAUGCCCCUGUCCUUUGUCUUAGGUAGACAAUUUGGUCUUCUGUAUGGACAUGUUGAAAUCUUUUAGAACAUGCUGGAAAGAUGUUUCCUAAACUUCAGUCACUCCUCUGCCACUUCUAUAAUUCCCACUGUGAGCUACCUUUUAUUUGUUUGUUUGUUUGUUUUAGCCCAAAGGUUACUUAAAUAAAUUUAGCUUCAUCUUACA
rnacentral:lncRNA from 1 species